UUACGGCCAUAUCACGUUGAAACAUCGGUCCCCGUACGAUCACCGAAGUUAAGUAACGUCGAACCUGGCCAGUACCUUGACUGGUGACCGCUUGGGAAGUCUAGAUGCUGUAA